rnacentral:sRNA from 1 species
ACUAAAAAAAAAAAGAGAAUUGGCUGAGUGGUUUAAAGCGGUAAGCUUGAAACUUAUUAGGUUAAAAAACCACAUCCGUUCGAAUCGGAUAUUCUCUGAAGACUAAUUUCUAUUGUUUAAUUCGGCAUUAAUAUCAGUUAAUCUAGGCAAAAUUAAUUUUGGGUGUUAAUUUAAUAAUAAAAUAUUGUCUUAUACAUGUGAAUGAUCUGCAAAGAUAUAAAUUCAAAUACUAUACAUGUUUUAUAAAAAAACAACACUAACUAAAUACAAAUAAAUAAUUAUUUAUUAAAGUUUAGUUAAAUAAUUGAUAUGUAAAUUAAAUUUUAAUUAUGCUAAUUGUAAUUAGCAUAAUGGUAAGUAUAUAAAGAAAUUAUUCUGGAUAAAUGGCUAUAUAUUAAAGAUUAACCGGGUGUUAUGCCCCUGACUUCAAGUCUGACUUGAAGUAAAGCCCAUAGCACACCAGGAUCUUAGAUAAAUUAAAUAAAUAAACAAAGUGAAUUGAAAUAUCUUAUUAGCUUUAGGAAUAAAAAUCAAAAGAGAUUCUAGAAGUAGUGUGAAUGAAACUAGAUUAAGCAAAUAAAGUAAAACGUAAAACAAAUAUGUUUGAAUAAAGGGGAACCUUCCUCUAAUGCUAUAAUAUAAUAUAUAAGCAACAGAAUAUAGUACCGUGAGGGAAAUUUUAGAAAGAGUAAUUUUAUAAGCAGCUCAAGAUUUAAUAAAAUUAAGAGCGUACCUUUUGCAUAAUGGGUCAGCAAGUUAAUGUUAGAUGCAAGCGAUAAUAAAUUAGCCUAGAUAAACCAAUUAUGUGAUAAUGAUAAAGUAUCUAAUAUUAGACCCGAAGCCUAGUGAUCUUGCCAUGGUCAGGAUUAUAAAAGUCCGAACGGGUUAUCGUUGUAAAGAUAUCCGAAGAACUGUGGUAAGUUAGUGAAAGACAAAACUGACUAGGAUAGCUGGUUUUCUGCGAAACCUAUGUAAGUAGGUAAUUUUAACAAAAUCUUAGCAGGUACAGUAUUUAAUCUCGUCAACUCAAAUAAUUAUGUUAUUUGUUUUGCAUACAUCGGGGGAUCGUGAAGAUUUUACCGGAGUGUAUUAGAACUCGGAAGGGCAAAGAUGACGCGCAGGUUAUUUGGGGAUAUCUUCCCAAAAUAACAAACGCGAAGGUUAAAUAAUCAGACAUAGUACGAUAAGGUUGUAUGUCAAAAGGGAAACAGCCCAGAACAAGAGUUUAAGGUUCCAAAGUUAUAGUUAAGUGAAAAUAAGGAAGUUUUUUUCGUAAACAACCAGGAAAUAGGCUUAGAAGCGGCCAUUUUUUAAAGACCUCGUAACAGAGCACUGGUUUUAGUAUAAGGUAUUAAAGCCUUUACUAAAGUUAUAAACACCGAUAAUAUAACGGAUCUAAAUUAUACACCGAAACCUUGUCUAUAUCUAUUAAUAUUAAUAAUAUUAUGGAUAUAGGGUAGCAGAACGUUGGGUAAAUUUAAGAUGUAUGCUUUUUAAGCAGUGACAAAAAUAUCUCAAGUGAUAAUGCUGACAUGAGUAACGAAAAAGGAAAACCUCGCCUAAAGCUUAUGGUAUUUAAUACGGUCUCUAAGUUAUUUUAUAUGCUCUUUAGUUACUGACCUUUAAAUUAUGAAAUAUACAUCGCGCAGUACUAAAGUAAAAUAUAUCUCCUACAGGAUAUAACGAUGAGUUUUACGAAUGUUAUAACAACCUUAAUAAUAGAUAGGGUUCUGGAAAAAUGUAACAGGGUCCGAAAGUGAGUAGAACUUGAAUAAAUAAACUGAAACAGAUGGACUAGCGGAUGAAAGCGGACGGAUCAAGUAAAUACCGUACCUAAAAACUAACACUAGUAAGCAAGUAGAGAAUACGAAGGCGUUUGAGCUAACAAUCAUUAAGGAACUCGGCAAAUUGACUCCGUAACUUCGGGAUAAGGUGGGCCAUUCUUUUAUAUAUUGUUUAAAAGAAGAGGAAGCAUAGAAUGGUGUUGUACGACUGUUUAAUUAAAACAAAGCACUUUGCAUAAGAUUAUAAAUCAAAGUAUUGAGUGUGAUGUCUGCCCUAUGUCGGCUGGUUAACGGAUUUUCUUAGCUGACUAAGAUAAGCUAGGUCUUGAAGGAAACCCCGAUAAAUGGCGGCCUUACCUAUAAGGGUCUUAAGGUAGCGGAAUACCCUGGCCGUUAAAUGCGGUCUUGCAUGAAUGAUUUAACGAUACAACAGCUGUCUCAAUGAUUGGCUCAGUGAAAUUGGAAUAGCAGUGCAGAUACUGUUUACCUCUAGAUAGACGAGAAGACCCUAUGCAGCUUUACUGUUACUAAUUAUAGGGUAUGAUAUAACAAGUUUUAGAGUAAAAGGUAAUUGUUAAAAUAAGCAUGAAACACCUUUACUUAGUUUAUCAUACAUUUUAUCCACAAAUGGAAACAGUUUUUAGUAGAUGGUUUAUGCGGGGCACAGAUCCCAUAAAGAGUACCUGGGUAUAUCCAAAGUUCAUUUUGUAAACUUGUUUAUUGCUUUUUUUUUCUGAAAAGAAAAAAAAUAUGCAGCAAACAAUUAUAUAUAGCUACUAUUAAUUGAUAGUAUUUAUAUAUAAAUAAAUUUAGUUUGCUAUUAGUAUUAUUAAACUAAUUCACCUAUCUUUCUAUUAAGUUAGAAUUAUUUUUUUUAUUUUAAGUAAGAUUUUUAAUAUAUGGAAAAUAUUUGUAAACUAAACCUUAAUUUAAAAAAAUUUAUUUUUUUUAAAUAAUGUUUAAAGUUGUAUAUAAUUAUAUAUGAUUUUUAUUUUUACUGGCAAAGUUUAAUGGCUAAAUCUUGCUUUACUGUUUGACAUACAAGUCUUUCAGUCGCGUAAGCGGGGCAUAUGAUCACAAGAUGCAAAAAGGAAAGGUCUUGGAUUUUUGAAAAAGCUACGCUAGGGAUGGACUGUGUUAGUCUAGUCCUCCAAAAUUCAUCAAAUUUUGGUAAUAUAACUGGGUAAAAUUCAAAAAAAACUAGCACUUCUUUUUUUCUUUAUCAUUAAAAAUAUACGAUAUUU